GAUCCUAAACUUGCUGCUGUUUCUAAUCAAAAUUACACAUGUAAGUAUCUGCACACCAGUGAGAAUGCCCACCUAAAGACACCCAGAGCAGGUAUCAGGCACGAACCUUCAGCCCAAAACACCUUGCUAUGCCACAUCCACACGGACAACCAACAGUGACUAAUAUUAAGCAAUAAGCGACAUCCCACCCCAAGCUCGACUUAGUUAUGAUUAUUAGGGCCGGUAAAUCUCGUGCCAGCCACCGCGGUUAUACGAGAAGCCCAAAACAACAGCCCCCGGCGUAAAUUGUGACUAGAUUACCCGUGCCACACAAGGGAAACUAAACUACAAAUACCCAGUUGUAAAACACUAAAACAAAAUAGAAGCCCAACUUUCCCCCACCCGCAAUUUUGAAGCCACGAAAUCUAAGAAACAAACUAGGAUUAGAUACCCUACUAUGCUUAGACAUUAAUAUGACCAUUAAAACAACCCCGGUCCGCCAGAGAACUACAAGCAAAAGCUUCAAACUCAAAAGACUUGGCGGUGCCCCACACCAACUUAGAGGAGCCUGUCCUACAAUCGAUACCCCACGCUAAACCCAACCACCUUUUGCACCCUUCAGCCUAUAUACCGCCGUCGUAAAUUCACCUCACAAGAGCCUAACAGUGAAUAAAACAGUUAACAACUAAUACGUCAGGUCAAGGUGUAGCUAACAAAGUGGCAGAGAUGGGCUACAUUCUUUAUCUUAAAGAAAACCAAAGUCCUAUGAAACAAGCACCCAAAGGCGGAUUUAACAGUAAAGCUGGCAAGAAAGCCACCUUUAACCCCGCUCUGGGGCGCGCACACACCGCCCGUCACCCUCCU
rnacentral:rRNA from 1 species